rnacentral:rRNA from 1 species
UCUUGGGCUUCACGCAUGCUACAAUGGCCGGUACAAAGGGCUGCGAAACCGCGAGGUGGAGCGAAUCCCAAAAAACCGGUCUCAGUUCGGAUUGGGGUCUGCAACUCGACCCCAUGAAGUCGGAGUCGCUAGUAAUCGCAGAUCAGCAACGCUGCGGUGAAUACGUUCCCGGGCCUUGUACACACCGCCCGUCAAGUCACGAAAGUCGGUAACACCCGAAGCCGGUGGCCCAACCCUUGUGGGGGGAGCCGUCGAAGGU